rnacentral:rRNA from 1 species
UACAGAGGGUGCGAGCGUUAAUCGGAAUUACUGGGCGUAAAGCGCGCGUAGGCGGCUUUGCAAGUCGGGUGUGAAAUCCCCAGGCUUAACCUGGGAACUGCAUUCGAGACUGCAUUGCUAGAGUAUGGGAGAGGGAAGUGGAAUUUCCGGUGUAAGCGGUGAAAUGCGUAGAUAUCGGAAGGAACAUCAGUGGCGAAAGCGACUUCCUGGACCAAUACUGACGCUCAUGUGCGAAAGCGUGGGGGAGCAAACAGG